UCGGAUCUACUCAUCACUGAAUAAUUUUAUAUUGAGAACAAUAUGUUGAGAUUAAUCAAUCACUCUGUAAUAAAUAUUGCAUAAGAUAGCUUUAAAUGAUUAAUUCCACAAUUGCCAAGUUAGUGCGUAGUAACAGCACUAUGUAGAACAGUUAGAGGUUACUUAGUACAGACAGUGAAAACAGCUUGCAAAAUAGAGCUUUUCCCUUCUCUCACCCUCAAACCUACACAGCUUAAAUAUUUAAAUUACCACAGGGUGGCGUUCCAUACUUAAAUCAUAGUGUUUCACCAGGGGCAAGGCACAUAUUGGUCUGUGCCAUUUCAUUCCAUCAUAUUGUUGUGCACUUAUAAUAUUUUCAAUGCUUGCAGGUGGGAUUUAUUAACUCAUUUUAUUUAUCAUCAACUCUUCUCAUUAAUAUUAAAAGAAUAUCAGCAAUCCACCUAACUAAUCACAAUAAUUAAUUCACAUUAUUAUAAUUAUUUAUUGGGAAUGUAAUAACAUCUCAUAGAUCUGAGAAAACUUCAAAGCAAGAGGUAACAGUGAUACUUAAUGCAUAUAAAUACAGUUUAUACAUUAUAUAGGAUAAAGUUAAAGUUAACGUUCAAGUUUGAGUUUUUGCAAACUCAAAUACAAUUUCAUGUUGGCACAAUUAGUUUAUCUGCCACGUUCCAAAAAAGUGAGCAUGAAAACAGACUGAUUGGGUGAACUUAAUUGGAUAUACAAAUAAAGAAGAGCUCAAAGUGGGAAUACUGACUACUAUAAUGCUCAUAGGCCUACUGCUCUGUUUUUACAAAAGAAUUGAGAGUGUGUUAAGUCAUAGACACAUGAAAUAUAAUAAAACAUCUUACAUCUUAUAUUUAUUUUCUUCCAAACAAUAAACAACAUAUCUAUGCCUUCAUACAGCCUCAUUAGUUGCUCAGAACAAAUAGAGAAUAAGCAGUCAUUUACAGGGUGGAGCUUUCUGAGGAAAAGUGAAACAGAAAAACAGGAGGCUCUUACUGUAGGUCUGCUGUUGCUCUUUAAAUAUUCAGUCAUAAUGAUGUUUCUUUACUUUACAUUUAUGACAGUUUUUACAGAGAAUGUUCAUGCAAAUGCAAUAACACCCCUCUCUACUAAAAAGGAUGCUUUAGAUGGAGAAAAUGUUACUCUUUCCUGCAACUAUAGUGGAAGUAAUAAUCAAAAUUUUCAGUGGUACAGACAGUAUCCCAACACUGCCCCAGAAAUUCUCCUAAAGACUUUUGAGAAUGCGGAUCCAGCACAGAAGGACCGACUUGCUGCUAAAGCUCAUAAGGACAAGAAACAACUUGACCUGGAGAUCUCCAAAACUGAAGUGGCAGAUGCUGCAAUAUACUACUGCGCCCUGGUGCCCACAGUCAGAGGAAACCCUUUUACACUGUACAAAAACCUGUGA